rnacentral:rRNA from 1 species
UACGGAGGGGGCUAGCGUUGUUCGGAAUUACUGGGCGUAAAGCGCACGCAGGUGGCUGAGUCAGUCGAUUGUGAAAGCCCUGGGCUUAACCUGGGGAAUUGCAGUCGAUACUACUCAGCUAGAGUAUGGGAGAGGGUAGUGGAAUUCCCGGUGUAGCGGUGAAAUGCGUAGAUAUCGGGAGGAACAUCAGGUGGCGGAAGGCGGCUACCUGGCCCAAUACUGGGCACUCAGGUGCGACAGCGUGGGGAGCAAACAGGG